CCAGAAAGUGGCUGACCAGUCAGACGCUGGUAGGUAGCAACAUUGGAAGCAUUUUUGCAGUCAUGGAGUCAUGAAUUUAAACAACAAAUAUAAUUUGCAAUGCAGGAUUUUGAUGCCAGUGGGGUUGUCUAGUGUUAUGGCAGAUGGCUCCAUUUUAGUUUGUAAUGUCAGUACACUUAAUGCCUGCUGUACUGAAAUCUCCAAAUGUUGUACAUUAUUUAUGCAAUAAUUGUCAGUUUGUCUAGAAUGAAUUGACUUGCUCUCAGUCGUUGAUACCAGUGGAUUCCACUGCUGACCCACCUUCUGCCAAUUUCAGCAGGAGCUGCAGAGAGCCUUGUAGAAUCAAAGAAUUAAACAACACAAAAUGGAGGCCAUUCGGCCCGUCAUGUCAGUGGUCGGUCCUUGAAAGUGUAAUCUGGAUUUCAUGUACUUUGAGCAAAAUUCUGGAGGUGUGCAACAUGGUGGAGCUUGGCGGAUGCUUUAGUGACAAAAUUGCACAACUUUGUCAGAAGCAUUAUGAUGUUUCAUGAAGUGCAAAGAGAUAAACUGGACAACAUGACAGAUAUCCAAUAAUGUGCCUAACUUAAUUUCAACUUGGAAUUAAUAGAAUCAGAAGUAAUUCAUCGGAAUUCUUUGAGCUGUUUAUUUACACUGUCAUAAUGGUUUCAUUUAUUAUUUUGAAAAUCCAAAAAACUUCAUUUAUUUUUAACAUUUAUUUAAUAUCACUGAAGUUGGUGGUUUACCAGUAUAUCUGGUAUUGUCUGUUGAAGUAUCGAAUAUCUAUAUUGUUAUCAUAUUAAACUGGAAUAAUAAGUUGGGAAUUUCCUUGGAACUGUGCUGAUGCUGCCACUGUAACUUCACCAGAAGUGCUAAGGAGAAUCCAUGUACACGUCAGUGGGAUUUCUGACAGACAAGGCAGGGCUAACGAGGAAGAAUGUUUUUUGAGAGUGCUGAUGACUUGGAACUCCUACUACCAGGGUGGUGGAGGGAGAGGUCUUAAAAAGAACAAGAAAAGUGGGUAUGUGUUUGAAUGAAAUAAAUUUUCAGUAUUACAGUGAUAGAAUGGGGAGUGGCACUAGCUGAUGUGCUUUUGGAAAGUUUGGAUGGAUUUGAUGGGGUAGAUGGCCUGCAUGUGUGCCACAUUGAUUUUAUGACUUUCAAGUCACGGCAAUGGAAUAGGACUGUUUCAAAGGUAAUUGCCAUUUGUUCUGCCCAACACUCGUACUGCAUUGUAGCCCUCAGUGUGUAAUCAAUGUUAGAAAAUAGUGUCCAUGGUUUUCAGAUGUUACUAUCAUUGUUACAAAUUUUUAGCAAAGAUUUAAAUUUUAAUAAUACACUAUAUAAGAAACAUUUUUGUUUUUCAAACACAUAAUCCCAUGUAAUAAAAAAUGAUUGCAAUAUAUGCCAUACAUUUGAACAGUAUACUUACAUCUGGAGAAAUCUAUUUGAUAACAAAGAAAUUUCUAAUUACAAUUUCAGUUAUUGUUUAGGAGAUGGGUUAUAAUUUUUGAGGAAGGAAGAUGAUUUAAUUGUCCAAUAUUUAUCCACGUGGCCGACACAGGGAAAAAUGUCAUGGCAUGAGGAAAAUGCUUUAUGUUUAACCAUUUUUAAUACUAUCAGGAAAAGAGAAAUAGGGAAAAUAUAAAAAGGUUUCAGAGUGAUUGUGAAAUGGAUAUAAUUUAAAGUUAGUGAGUUACAAUUGUCAUUCACAGUCUGUAGUACUAAAACUACAAUAAUUAAAGCUUCUUCCCUCCAGUAAA